GGCACCCUCUCAAGGAACUAAGUAGCCUUGACGUUGUGAAUGUCAGGGUUGUGUUUGGACUUUGGUUUUUGUUUUAGUGCAAACGAAGGAGAUUCGGUUGCGAGUGGGUUGGUGACGUGAUUAUUCAUUUCGUAUGCAGAUUGUUGGUGGCUCUGUGAUGGGUCUAGAUUCUUGUUGUGCUGAAAUUGGGAGCAUAGAUCAUCAAGG
rnacentral:lncRNA from 1 species